rnacentral:rRNA from 1 species
GGGUGCAAUCAUACGAAUAUCAAUGCACCAUAUACCAUUAAAACUUUAAAGUCAAGAGCGCUUAACUAAAGUAUUAUAGGGAUGGGUGACCUCCCAUGAAGACAUAGUCUCACACCUU